rnacentral:rRNA from 1 species
UACGGAUGGAGCAAGCGUUGUUCGGAAUCACUGGGCAUAAAGCGCAUGUAGGCGGCUCUGAAAGUAGGGUGUGAAAUCCCCUGGCCCACCCAGGGAACUGCAUUCUAAACUUCAGGGCUUGAGUGAAGAAGGGGAGAGAGGAACUCCUGGUGGAGCGGUAAAAUGCGUAGAUAUCAGGAGGAACGCCGGUGGAGAAGUCGUCUCUCUGGUCUUUUACUGACGCUGAGAUGCGAAAGCUAGGGGAGCAAAC